GCUGCCCACGCCAAAUGAAUUUCUCGAUCUCAUCUUGGAGUUGGAUGUAGUCCUCCAUAUUGUGAUCGUGGUCGCAGUGAUAGAGACAAUACUUAUUCGGAUCGCAUUAUCCCAGUUUGGACUGCAUCCUUCUUGCUCUGGGGGGCUUCUCCCUUAUCUCCAUCAAUGCCCGAGUUCUAGGGGUAUUUAGCAACGUAUAGUUGGUAAACUUCCUUAGUGGAGACACAUGUCGUGCUCCCCUAAAAGGACUUCUAG
rnacentral:lncRNA from 1 species